rnacentral:RNase_P_RNA from 2 species
GUGCCCGAGCAGGAACUUCCGGUGCCCUUGGGGCACUGAGGAAGCCCAUCCACCGUCUAAACUGCACUCCGUAAGGAGCACCCGAAAUGGGUGGGAAUGGCACAGAAACGGCACCUCCAGACAGGAGCUAUGAUUUCUCAAAGAUUGAGCUGGGAAAGUUUGGAGGUUGAAACGGCCUACCUGCAGGGUGCAAGCCUAUGGGGCGCUAAGACGAAUGUUCCUCUACAGAAGAUGGGCUAUUGCUCGGGCAC